GACGAACGCUGGCGGCGUGCCUAAUACAUGCAAGUAGAACGCAGUUGCGAACGGGUGAGUAACGCGUAGGUAACUGCCUCAUAGCGGGGGAUAACUAUUGGAAACGAUAGAUAAUACCGCAUAUUGUUAGAUGGACCUGCGUUGUAUUAGCUAGUUGGUGGGGUAAAGGGUCAUCAAGGCGACGAUACAUAGCCGACCUGGGAGGGGGGUCGGCCACAAAGGGACUGGAAAACGGCCCAGACUCCUGCGGGGAGCAAGAAUAAGGAAACUUCGGGAAUGGACGGAAAGCUGGACGAGCAACGCCGCGUGAAGGAAAAAAGGUUUCGGAUCGUAAAGCUCUGGUGUUAGAGAAGCGGUAACUAACCAGAAAGCGACGGCUAACUACGUGCCAGCAGCCGCGGUAAUUC
rnacentral:rRNA from 1 species